rnacentral:rRNA from 1 species
CCUACGGGGCGCAGCAGUGAGGAAUAUUGGUCAAUGGGCGGGAGCCUGAACCAGCCAAGCCGCGUGAGGGAAGAAGGUACAGCGUAUCGUAAACCUCUUUUGUCAGGGAACAAAGGCGGGGACUAGUCCCCGGAUGAGGGUACCUGAAGAAAAAGCAUCGGCUAACUACGUGCCAGCAGCCGCGGUAAUACGUAGGUGGCAAGCGUUAUCCGGAAUGAUUGGGCGUAAAGGGUGCGCAGGCGGAACCAUAAGUCUGAAGUAAAAGCCAUCGGCUCAACCGAUGUAAGCUUUGGAAACUGUGGAUC